AGGAAAUAACUGGUCAGAGAGUUUCAUCGUUCCUCCGGUGGCCAGUAUUGCUGAUGAUGAUGUCAUGAACGACAAUCUUGAUCUUCUUAAUGUCCCUCAAUAUGGAAGAAAUCCCGACUACAUGGGUUAAGUGCAGCACUGCUUUUUUUUUUUUUUCUGUUUUGUUUAAUUAAAUAAAUGAUAGGUAUACUAUUACCUAUCAAUCAUGGCAAUGUCUUAGUCUGGUUUAAUUCAACUUAUAAGAUUUCUUAAGAUGUACAAGAGAUCUUUUUAUUUACUUUUGAGCUAAUUAUUUCCCUGAAAAAGGAAAUAAAUCAAUAAAAGUUAUUGUGUGUGUCAACAUAUUGGUUAUAUUAGUCUAUACACGUAGGUUUUAAUUACGAUAUCUCUUCCUAAAUAUUUUACUUUUUUUGAAACAAACUCAAAAAUUUGUUGUAUAAAAAACACUAUCACUUUCAAUCAUAUGAUGGUUACAUUUUAAUCAUUUAUUCAUAACGUCCUCCUGAUCCUCCAUUGAGGAUAUUAUAGUGUGUCAUUCUGUAACCUAGAACUAUCAUUUCUUCCACCUCUACGAUAUCUUGUAAUGUUACUUGCAGCUUCAUAAGCCACAGAAACAUCAUCAAAAUCAACAAAUUGUUUUCUUUUCUUUUUUUUUAGGAAAGUAAUAAGAAAAAUAAAAGCUGCAUUAUUCUAUUUAUGAUCAAUAGAAGAAUUCAAGUGACUGGAGAAAAUUCAGAUUGUUGAAAAUGGGUUCUCAAACGAAAUAAGCCUCAGGUAGUAGACCUCACCAACAUCAGUACCGCUAAUCUCCCUUUUCCAUUCAUUUUUCACUAUGAAAUUAAUUACUAAUUAAUCUACAGUUAGUUUCUCUACAGCUAAUAGGAACGUGAUUUAUUCCCGAAGGCUCGCAUCUUUUUUAUUCAUUAUCUACAGUGCACUCACCUCCAAUCUAUGUAUAGGCAGACAUGCAUAUUUAUUAUAUCAAAUAAGUUAUUGAUGGAAAUUUCACUUUCGAAAAUAGAGAAUUAUCCUUAAUUAAAUCUUAGUGGGCCUAAAUUCGAGUAAGAUUUAAUGAUGUAUGAUUCAAAAUUAUUGAAAUCGGACAUUUUAAACAAGAAAAAAAUAAAAAAUCUUGUUCGCUUUUUUAAAUAAUAAAUUUCAUUUUGAUGGAUUUUUAAUAUUAAAUUAGACAUUUGCUAAAUUGGCUCAAAUAUAAUAGAUCUUAGACCUUGCUUUUAAUGGAUUUAAUUAGGUUUUGGGCAUUUAAAUUAUACAACUGGAGACAGAAUUUAUAAAUAGAUAAGAUUCUAAUGUGAUUUUAAAAUAAAUUUGAACUUGAACUUGAUGCAUUGAAUUAAUCCAGAAAGGUAAAUUUAUAAUUUCAACUUUUAAAUAAAACAUAUCCUUUGGAUUUUUUACAUAAACUAGAGGCAAUUGUACAAUAUUUACUUGACUAGUGGUAUAUAUCCCAAAUUUUUUAUCCUAAGAAAUGCCACAUCAUUUGGUUGAUGAGGAUAAUAUAAUAAAUUCACUUAGAUAUUAUAAAAAAUUCUCAACCAAUCAAUUAAUAACAUAUCAUUUUCAUUGGGAUGGAAUUUGGAAAAAAAAUUUAGGACGUCUAUCAUUACUUUAGUAAGAAAGCAUAUUAAGAUGGACUAACAUGUUUGGAUGCCCCAGCCAAAGAUGCAAGAGAUCAAUUUCUUUUGUUGUCUUGAAAUCCCUACUAUUUGACUCAACAACAUUGGCAACAUUUAACUCAUUACUGCUAGAACAAAAAGAUAUCAUAGACAAAGGAUUGCUAUUGCAAUUUAUUGACUCAUACUCUAAAGAUAGAGGUAACUCAACAUCACAUUCAAUCUUGCGCUACUCAUGCACAAUAGCUCAUAUAGCCUAUCUUUAGUCACUCCUUUCACUAGGAUUUUCACUUGGCUAAAGCAAAUAGAUUUUUGAAGCACAACAUCAAUAUCAUUAUCACGGAACAAUUUUGAGACACUAAUAAGGUUCUUAGUAACGCUAGGCACAAACAACGAGCUAUUUAGUUUAAUCUGUUUGUGCGGAUCAUAAGUGAGCAAUAUAGAGUAUUCAAUAUGAGAAAUCAAAAGUUUAUCACCAUUUCCAACAGUAGCUUGUCAUUACCUUGAUAUUCUGAAUUAAAGCUCAUGCUUCCAAUAGCACUGGUUACAUGAUUUGUAGCACCACUGUCAAGGUACCAAGCUCUACUAUUCUCACCAUCAACUGCAACCACAUAUGCUCUUCUUGGAUCUCUUCUUCUAUUUGGCUAUGGAACUGAUAUGAACCCUCUUUAGAACUAACAUGACCCUAACCAAUUUAGUCUCUAAGAUUGAAACCAAUUUUUUUUUUCGAAGAGAUUGAAACCAAAUCUAAAAUUGAAUGGAACCGCGAUUUGAUGUCAAUGAAAGUACGAACCUUGGUAUGUGAUGACGCCACCGUCACCUAUGGAUGAUCUGAUUGAUAAGUCAAGAGUUUGAACACCACAGAAAUCCGAUAAGUUCAAAGGGUUAGUUUAAGAACCAAAGAGAAUUAGCUUUCUCACCAAUUGCAUCAAAAUUGAUGUCUUUCUUAUUGGAUACAAGUACCUUAGAUAGGGUUGGUUUAUAAGAAUUUUAAGAAAUAAAUCCUAAACCAAAAUCAAAUCAGAAUCCUAAUUUAAAGCAAAUAAGAAAAGAAACUAAAUCAAACCAGAAUCCUUAUUGGCUUAAAUGCCUUGCAUCAAUUAAAAAUGGAAACUAGGCAAUUAAAAGAGAAAUAAUUGAUUCAUUUUGCCACUUGCCUACUCAAGAAAUGGGAAAGUAUCCUAAAAGGAAAGUAGUAUAUUUUCCAAACGAGAAAGCAUCUGAUAAGGUAAAUAAUAUAUUUUCUAGCCAUAAUGUGCAAACCAACUUGCUGAUUUCAUGGAAAUGAUUAUGUGGAAACGUAAAAAGCCUGAAUCACUUAUUUAGUGGUCUGAAUAUCAUGUGUGAUUUCUUUAACGGGCCUCCACGAAUUUGAUUGAGCUCAAGUUGCUUAAAUCAACCCAUUAAGUGAUUUUUUGAAUUUUUUUGCACGAGCUCUUAUGAUGGGUCCAACAGGAACUUGAAUGGGAUCUGAAUAUACCUCAUCCCAUGUGCUUGUGACAGUUUUGUCCUCAAUCUCAUCAUUCCCCUCAUCUUGAAGAGGAUUUAUUCUCAAAUUGUCACAUGCAUCAAAAGAACUCAAAUUAAAAAAUUAAAAGCAGCACUUAUGUUGUACUUACCUAGCAAAUCUAGCUUGUGUGCAUUAUCAUUGAUCCAUUCUAAGACUUGGAAGGGCCAUCCCCUUGAGGUAAUAACUUGGAUUUCAUUUGUUCCAGAAAUCGUUCCUUGCGCAUGUGUAACUACACCCAAUCGCUGAGUUCAAAGACUAGCUUGUGUCGCCCUUUGUUGGCUUGUUUAGCAUAUUGUUGAGUUCUCUGUUUGAUCCGUUCUAAGACUUGGAAUGGGCCAUCCCCUCGAGGUAACAAUUUAGAUUUCAUUUGUUCCACAAAUCGUUCCUUGCGCAUGUGUAACCAUACCCAAUCGUCGAGUUCAAAGGCUAGCUUGUGUCGCCCUUUGUUGGCUUGUUUAACAUAUUGUUGAGUUCUCCGCAUGUGUAACCACACCCAAUCGCCACGUUCAUUUAUCUACUUAACAAUUUCAGUCUUUUUCUUGCCAUCUAAGUUAAGACGCUUAGAAACUAGUAAUGGAGUUAAAUCUAAUGGAGUUAAAGGAUUAAAACCGUAAACAAUUGCAAAUGGGGAAUACUCAAUUGUAGAAUGAAUAGAAUAAUUAUAAGCAAACACAACAUGUGGCAAACAAAUUUUCCAAAUUUGGACAUUCUUUUUAAUGAUAGCUUGCAACAGUGUGAAUAAAGUUCUAUUCACAACUUUUGUUUUACCAUCAGUUUGAGGCUGGCAAGUAGUUGAAAACAACAAUUUAGUUCUUAACUUAGCCCACAAUUGUUUCCAGAAGUAAUUUAAUAAUUUAGCAUCCUUAUUAGACACAAUUAUCAUAGGCAUACUAUGCAACCUCACAGUUUCCCUAGAGAAUAGGUCAAUGACAUUGGAAGCGUCAUCUGUCUUGUGGUAUAGAAUAAAAUGUGUUAUCUUAGAAAAUCUAUCCAUAACCACAAAAAUUGAGUCUUUCCCUCAUUUAGACCUAGGUAAACCUAGCACAAAAUCCAUUGAAACAUAAGUAUAAGGUGCACUAGGUAUUGGCAACGGGGUGUAUAAGCCAUAGGGCUUCACUUUCGAUUCGGGUUGCCUAUAGAUGACACAUCUACCACAAAGUCUCUCAAUAUCUCAUUUUAUAUGUGGCCAAUAGAAGUGUUCUUGCAAAACUGCUAAAGUCUUUACGACUCCAAAAUGCCCCAUCAACCCUCCUCCUUGGGUUUCUCUCACUUAUAAACCUGUCAAAGAACAAUUAGGCACACACAAUUUUUUUCCCCUAUAUAAGUAACCAUCAUGCCUAAUGCACUUACCAAUCGUGGUCUAUUCACAAGUUUGGUAUUCGACACUAAGAUCAUGGUCAUUAGCAUACAAUUCCUUAAUAUGUUCAAAAUCAAGCAGUUUAGCAUUAAGUGUCAAGAUUAAGACAUAUCUACGGGAAAACGCAUCUGUAACAAUAUUUUCCUUACCUUGUUUGUAACGAAUGAUAUAUGGAAAUGUCUCUAUGAAUUUUACCUGUCGAGCAUGCCUUUUGUUAGUUUGUGUUAGCCUUUAAGGUGUUUCAAAGACUCAUGAUCGGUGUGGAUCACGAACUCCUUAGGUCGUAGGUAGUGUUGCCACAUUUCUAACACUCGAACCAAUUCAUACAACUCAUUAUUGUAAGUAGGGCAGUAUAACGCUGCCUUAUUUAGUUUCUCAUUGAAGUAAGUAAUUAGUCGUCCCUCCUGCAUUAGGAUUGUGCCUAUACCAAUACUUGAAACACGUUAUCUUGUUUUUCUCCCUACUUGAAUCCAACAUCUUUUUUUAUUACUUCGGCAAGCGGUGUAGCAAACAACAUUUCUUUUCUAAGCACAUCUAAAACAGAUUUCAAAUGUACUUCAUGUUGGUUGAAGUUUUUGCUAUAUAUGAUGAUAUCAUCAAAAUAAAUAACAAAAAACUUGCCAAUAAAAGCUUGCAAAACAUGAUUCAUAAGUCUCAUAAAAGUGCUUGGAGCAUUAGUCAGACCAAAAGGCAUGACUAACCAUUUGUACAAACUAUAUUUUACUUUAAAGGCAGUUUUCCAUUCAUUUCCUUCUUUCAUUCUGAUACGAUGAUAUCCACUUUUCAGAUCAAUUAUAGAAAAUACACAAUACUCAUGCAAUUCAUCAAGCAUAUUGUCAUACAAAUUUAUUGUACUCACAAGCGCAAGAAUCUAUUGUAGAAUAGAUUUUAUGGUGGCGAGUGUCAAUCCCACGAGAACGUAAAUUUAAUUAUGUGUAGGGUUAAUUUUCUACAUGUAUAUGUGAGAAGGUUGGAAGUGAAUUUUUUUAAUCUUAAGAUUUAAAAUAAAAUGGCGGGAAUAAAUUAAAGAUGGAAUCAAUGCAAAUAAAACGCUUAAGUCUCUGGAUUCACACUCAACAUUCAUCAUCGGUUUAAUAUUUUCUUUUUAGUUCCAAUUAAUUCAUGAGGGGGUAUUUCCACUCCUCAUGAUCCUCAGUCUAAUAAAUAUCAUAUCAAGCGCUCAGUGUGCCAGAGGGUAAUGAUCUUUCACUAAGUGUGGUAUUAAAAACACGUUGUGCCGAUUGAUAAUAAUCCUUCUAUCGACAAGGUGGCAAGACCAUCCAAUAAAUAACUUUGAUACACUCUCUGUCGACAAUGAGUCAAGAUGACCCAUAAAAUGCUAGAGGGGAAUUUUCUCUCUAGUUAAGAUGGUGCUAAGUGCUCAUUAUGCCAGACAGUAACGAUCUUUCACUAAAGAGCCGGUAUACCGUGCAAAAUCCAGACAAGAUACACUGUUUGUCAACAAUUAGUCAAAAUGACCACAUAAAUCAGAGAGAAAAAGAAAAUAAACUUACCUAAUUAAGCUCAUCGAUCGUGCUGAUUCUUCACCUUUAACCCAAGCUUGAAACUAAACAAGCCCUCAUAAUUAAACAAGGGGUAAAAUGGUAAUUUGAUUAUAAUAUGUAAAAAACACAAGCUGGAGAGAGAAUUACAGAAAAUGAAACUAAAAAAUGGAUUGAGGGACGUCAAAUUAGGGGGAUGAACCCUCUAAUUAUAGAUACAAUAGGUAAAUAUAGACCAUCAGAUGAAAACAAUUCAGAUGCUCAGGAUUGCGUUACGUGGCAAAUUUUGAUUGGUUGGAACACAUCAUCAAUCAACACCACAUCAGCAUUUUGUAAAUAAGAUAUUGCCACAUCAUCAAUCAAAGCCAUAUUAGUAUUUCAGUCCAAUAACAUCCUGCCACAUCAUCGAUCAACGCCACAUUAUCAGUCAAUGUCACAUCAUUGCCACAUCAUUGGUUUAAUAAGAUGCUGCCACGUUAUCGGUCAAUGUCAUAUCAUCGGUCAAUAUCCGUCAUCGUAUCGUACAGGUGAACAGUGUCGUAAUUGUGAAUAAUAUCGUAUAUGUGAAUAGUACUGUAUACGUGAAUAGUAUUGUAAUUCUCAAUGCCAUAUCUCCAGUACUCAACACACUACCCAACUAGCUUAUUGUUAGUCCUCAACAAAUUAAGCAAUGAAAUCUAGCAAAAUUCAAACUGAAAUAUGUUUAUUAAAUAAAUGAACUUUUCCAAAAAAUUGCAUUCACCCCAUUUGCUAAUCAACCAUCAAACAAAAAUUCAGCAAACUGUCUUUAGUGCUUAACAAUGUUUGACAUAAUGAUUAUGGGGUUCCGUCAAAAUAAAACAAUCUUUUUAUUCUUACCAUCUCAUUCGAGUUUCUUCCAUAGGCAGCAGGUUUAUUUAUAUUAUUUCUUUAACUAACUCUAUUUGUUUUGUGUGAACACUCUUUACUUACUGAGGCAAAAGGCUCGGUUACUAAGAAAAAGUUGGGUUGGACAAAUUGAACUCUCACCGUUCGACGCGACCACUCUCUGCUUACUGAGACAGAAGGCUCGGUUACUAAGUAAGAGUUCAUGCAAUUUUGAUCAUCUCUCACCGUUUGACGCAAAUACUUUUUGCUUAGUGAGCCAAGAGACCUAGUUACUAAGUGAGAGUGUCUAUUCUUCUUUUUUUUUUCUCUUUCUUUUCUUUUUUUUUUUUGGUAUAAUGACCACCGCCUUUAGAUCUAUAACCAAUAUGAUUUCGAAAUGUUAUUUGAUAAUGGUUAUAUCCAAUACUAAUCGUACAAAAACAAAAAUCCAUUAAGGAAUUGGAUUAGUCAUGAUUUUCUUUUUAAUCAAAAACUCAUAUUUUGUCUUUUAAUAAAAGAAAACAUAAUAUCAAUUUUUAUUGCACUCUUGAUUUACUACUGCAGGAGCAUAUAUGUGCUACAAAAUCAUGUGUCCUCUAAUAUGCUUUUUUUUUAAAUAUUUUUCUCUCCACAUAAGUUCAUAUGAGAGAAUCAGUUGAGCUAUUGAAGUUAUCUUUUUUGUGUGUGUGUAUUAAGCUUAUAUAUUAAAUUUUACCUUCUUCAGUGUCAUGAUCAUAAAAGAAAAUCACAGUCUUUUACAAUCCUUCAAAGAUUGACUUCUUUUACUAAAUAUAUUUAGUGCUAUUCGUGAUAUCAAACAUGUGAAUAGUAAUUAGAUUUUGGUAAUUCAAUAUAAUCAUAAAAAGAAUCAUUCAUCAAGAAUUCAACAAAAAAAUUCAAAUCAAUUAAAAGGGUCAAGUACAUAUAUAUGUUACUUAUAGUUCAUUCCUAUAUUUUGUUAUAUCAAACUAUUCUUGAAAAUUAUUAAUAUAAAAUAAGCAUGCAAAAAUUUGUCAUUAAAAGUCUAAGAGGUUGAAAAUAAAGCCAACGAAGUGAAGAAACUAUUCAAAGUAGAAACGAAUAAUUUUCUUUUAUUAAUGACCGCAUUCACUCAAAUACUUUUGAAUAUCAUAUUUUUUCCUUCAAAGAAACAAUUUUGCUUCAUAUGGAAAAGGAAAUUCGUAUGUAGCCUUACAUGAUUUAUACAUAAAUUCAUAAUAUUUGUGUAGUCCUUCAUGAACAUGUGAAAUAUACACUUAUAUAGUGAAUCCUUCGUGAACAAGAUGUUAGUGAAUAACAUCAUAAUUUUGGAAUAGUCCUUCAGGAACAUAUUUUGAAAGAAAAUCUUCAUUAUGUAUAGUGCGAUCCUUAGAACAGCACUACUAUCAAACUAUCUUUAAAAGAGUUCCUUGAUCAAAAGAAUUUAUUUAUCAUUUUUCACAGUUUAAAAAAAUAAAAUAAAUUACGUAGAAAUAAUUUGAAGAUUUCCUAAAUAAGCAUCAAAUAAAUGCUAAUUUAUUGCAUGAUACUUAGAAGAAACCAUAAAUAAAAAUUAAGGAUUUACAAUUUUAAAGAGAAGCUGGGAGUUUAAAUUUUCUUGCCAUCUUGAGGGAGAAUAAUAAGACCAAAAUAAUAUUGAUGAAACAAAAUAAUCAAUCAAACAUUUGAUUGUCUGUAUCUUAAUCAGUGAUUAAGAAAAAUUGGUUGUUAAUUAACAUAAAAAUUGAUUGACUCAAUAUUUAUGAAUAGAUCAUUAUUUCUAAAUUAUGUUAAUUAUAUAUAUUUCAAAUACUUAUAAGAAUUGAGUUUGCUUACGGUUUAUUAAAUAUAGUCUCUUAAAAGUUUUCAUGUGGCCCAUACAAAGCUAACAUUACUCUGUUAUAGCAUUUCGGGCAUCCAACAAGAUCCUCUUCUUCACUUAUUGUUAGAACUAGAGCUAACAAAUUAAUUACUUAAUCACGGCUAAGUUUGGAAUUAAAAAUCAAACUAAAUUAUCUAAUUGGUUGAGUUCGGUUUCCGUUUGUAUGGGCCACAUGAAAUUUUCUCUCUCAUCUUCUCUCGUCUGCUAAUCGCAUCUUUCUCUCUUUCGAUUCUCUAAUUUCUCUCUUGGAUUUGGUUACCAAGCACCACAACAACAACAACAACAAUAAUAAUAAUUAUUAUAAUUAUAAUAAUAAUAAUAAUAAUUAUUAUUAUUAUUAUUAUUAUUAUUUUCCCUAUAUUAAACAAGUAGUCAUUUAUGAAUUUUGAGUGAAAAAUUCACUCGGCUGUGGCAGAUUUUGUGCCUUAAUUACAAGUAGUCGAUUUCACGCAUUCAUCAUCACCAUUACUAUGUUCAUUAUUAUUUGCUAUUGUUUUUUACUUUUUCUGCUGUUAUUGAUUAAAUUGGCAUUAAAUUUAUGUCUUGUCCAUUACAAGACUUAACAAUAGAAUCCAGUUGUAAAAUGGACACUGCAGAUGAUACAAGUGAGCAAGACCUAGUCAGAGAGCGUAGUACACUUUUUGUAAGUAUAAAUUAAUUGAUAUCUUUCGAGUUGUUAUGUUAGCGACCAUUUUAAAAACACUUCUGUAUUCGAAUUUUGGUUACGUUGAAGUGAAGGGGAUUGAGUUGCCAUUAAAAAUUAAAGUAUUUUGGUCUUUAUAAACAAAGCGCUUUUGUGGAAUAGAUCUAAGAAGAUGCUAAUCUUCUUAAUAAAAUUAAAAAAAAAAAAUCUAUUACUCUUGGUGCAACAAAUUUCCUAGUCCCAAAACCUUGUCAUAGAAAAAAAAAAGAAAAAAAAAAGAAAACAGAAAAAGAGUGAAAAUAUCUUCGGGAAAAUAAUAUAAUACUUGAACCUUAAAAAUAAAAGCUCUAUAUAUUACUAUAUAAACAGUGAUAAACACAAUUAAGAAAUUGCUAUCUAAGUCCACUCGAAAUUUUAUCAUACAGUCGUAUAUUUAUCACCUUAUGUACAGUGACGGACCUGCACGUGGGCUAGACCGGGCUGUAGCCCGGUCUAGUUUAGAAAAAAUCAUUUACACCCCUUACUUUUUUAAUAAUUUAGUAAAAUAAUUGAGUUUUCAUUUUAUUUUCAUAUAUGUCCCUAACUCAACUACCCUUACAUUUUCAUCAAUUUAGUAUAACAAUAGAGUUUUCAUUUUAUAUUUAAAUAUGUCCCUAACUCAAUUACCCAUAUGUUUUCAUUAAUUUUAUAUAAUAAUAGAGUUUUUAUUUUAUUUAUAAAUGUGUCCCUAAGUCAAUUAUAUUAUUUUCAAUUGAAAUUAGUGACUUAUUUUAUAAAAUGAUUAAAUUAUAUAUUUAUUGAAUAGAUUGAAAACAUUAGGGUGUUAAAAUUUUAUUACUGCUUUAAUUUAUUUUAAAAAGCUUCUAAUUAAAAAAUAUAUAUGUCAAUGUAAUAUAACAUCAUCACUAGACUUAAAAGUACUUACAGAAAUAACAUAUAGUAACAAUUAUCAAUAUUUUCAUAAAAUUUUAAUGUGAAUUUUCAGAUUUUAUUUAUUAGUUAUAUUAACUAAGAGGCCAAGUUAGAAAAUAAAAUUUGAGUAUUUUAAGAGCUUUUAAUAGAAGAAUCAUCAACUUCUAGUUCUUUAAAGAGAGAUAGAGCAUCUGACAAAGAAACAACUGCACCCAAAUAUCUUUUUGCUGAAUUUAGUUUAGUUUAUUAUUGAAACUUUUGAUUAAAAAUACUUUUACAAUUUGAAAGGAUGAAUAAAUUUUAAUUAUUUAAUUUAUUAAGUCGGGUAAUUUAGUACUUCACUUCAAGCAUAAAAGUUUUACUUGCAAUUUUUAAUUGAUUGUAAUUACAUGUAUUGAUCUAUUUUAAUUUAAAAUUCUUAAUUGAUUUUUUAAUCCUUAUAUAAUUACAAGUUAUUAUAGGUUGCAAUGUCAAAUUCUAUAAUUAAAAAAUAAUUUCAUAUUUGAGUUGUCUUUUGUUUUCUACUCUUUUUUUAUAAUUAUUUUUGUUUAUAGUACAUAUUUAGAGAGAUAAAGUUCUUGGUAUUCCUCCUUAUUUAAUAUACUUAUUUCUACUUAUAAAUUUUUAUGUUCGCUUCAAAAUACAAAUUUUAAAAUUUAGUCCGGGGUAAUAUUAAAUCCUGGAUCCGCCCCUGCUUAUGAACGUAUACUGUAAUUUGGAUACGUUAUUUAAUUAUAUAUAUAUUGUGUAGAUUUACCACAUUAUGUACGUAUAUAAAAUAUAACGUAUAUUGUGUAAACUCUACUAUAAACAAUUAAUAUUUGGUCAUAUUUCUUUUGGCAAAUAACCCCCUGGGAUUUCUUCUUUAUCGCAACAUGAAAUUGAAGAUAUUUAAAAGGUUUUGAAACGUUAUUUUUUUUUUUUUUUGAGAAGUUUUGAAACGUUAUUUUAAUUGAAAGGAUUUGCCAUUUUUAAUUUUGGUUGCAAAUAAUAAUUCCUUGGUGGUUACAAUAUUUUUAAAUAUCCCCAUUAAGGCUGUAGGGGCUAUAAAUCUUCAUUCUAGAUCUGUAACAUCUGACUAUGAAUUAUAUAUAAAUGAGCUAUUUUUCUUUAUCUUUGGAUAUAUUAUAUACUCUAUUGUUUUCUCCGAAACUCUACGCUAAACAAUUAAUACUUUUCUUUGCAACUUCGACAUUCAAAGACUUGGUUUAUUCUUCAGGUAAAUCGUGCUUAGGAAGAAGAGCGGCAUGAAGAUAUUUGGGUUGUAUUUUGGAGCUGCAAAAUACCGACAAUAUCCGCCCGUGGGGAGGGCUCUUUGACAUUUGGGUUGUAUUUUGGACAUUUGUCAUUCUCCAUAGUACUGGCCGGAUUCUUCAACAAUAUCCUAAUACUUCUAAAGUCAAAGACAUGCUUCUCUUUCGUUGUAUAUAUUUGCAUCUCUAGGUGAAAUUUGUAAUUGGCUGAGGACAUUUUUAUUUUUAUAGAAUGGAAGAACAGGGACUUUACGUGGAGAAAAAAUUAAUUGUAGUGGGUAUUUUCCAUAGAUAUAGCUAUACAUGUAGCAUGGCGAGCUGAUGACGGGAGUUCAUUUGACGGAAUUAGCCCUUCAAUGGGUUGUCGUUAUAAACCAGUUGGCCAAUAUAAUCAUGCAGCCUAUUUCAGCAAUCUUGUUUAUUAUGAUAUUAAUUUUGUGACUCAAGAAGCUGCAAGUAACAAUAAUUCGUACAUAUGCAAGUAAUUGUUUUGGUUGCAAAAUGCAACACUUUCUGGACCAUCUUCUGGUUAUAAUUUUGUUUUCAGUAAAAUGUAAUUUUUUUUUUAUUAUAGACAUUGUAUAAUUGUUUUAAAAUUUGGUAUAGCAAUAAAUAUGAUCUAUGUUUUGGACUGGUAGGUGGUUUUUUAAAACUCUUUCCCAAAAGUUUAUCUUAAAGUUCUAUCUUAAAUUAUGUGGUCUUCAUUAACUGAUUGGUGUAAUUAAUUUAAGUAAUAAAAAAGGAUCUGGAUCCUCUCCUAGACAUUUUUUUUCUUCUUCCUAAAUUUUUAAUGAUCCAUUGACAUGUGUCAUUAAUGAAAUUAAUUGAGAAAAAUUUAUUUUAUCUUUACCGCUUUAACCCUACCCUAAUUUGUGGACCCAUACAUGCACCCACGUUUCGGACAUGCAAUUUAACAUGCUUAAUUAUGGAUCUUUCAAAUUAAAGUUUUCAUAUUCCUUUGAAAACUAAAUGGAAAUAAAAUAAAAAAAUGAAUAUUUUGAAAACUAAUUGGAAACCCAUAAGACCAACAGUCUUAUACUAUAAUUUAAAUUUAAUUAUGUUUUAUUGACAAAAAUUAGCUAUUAUCAUUAUGAAAUGCCCAUUUCACUGAACUAUCUUUGAUUACAAAAUUUAUUUAGCAAUUCCAAGUGAAAUGAUAUUUUGAAGGAGGAAAAGACUCAAUUAGACAUUUAGACCGGGCUGCAGUUCUGGCCUCAUUUUGUCCUGAAGCUCAGCCAUGAUCCUGCCAAAGUUUUGGAGCCAUUCUAGCCACAUUCUAUCUUACUAUUAUGCACCACAUUUACUUUUUCGAUCUUCGAGACUGCGACUGGGUCAAACAUAUCCUCAAGCUCCGUUUUAACCUUACGAAAUUUGUGGACCCAUUUUACCUUCACGUGAUCGGUAUUACUACUUUUGUGGACAAGGCUACGUUGCAGUUGCAGACUCAGCUGAGUACCAACUACAGCUUUUCCUCUCUCCUGCAACGCGUGGAUGCUCCUUGUUUGUCUUCUUAUCUGCAAUUAUUUUCUCUGUGGACCCAUUCAUGCACCCACGUCUCGAAUAUGCAAUUUAACCGUAGCCGUUAAUCAUACCUAACUAUAUGUACGAUAAAAAUUCCGCCGUCGAUCCGCUAUAUGUAAGUACCAAUCAGGCAUUAGUUUUCUAAUAAGACUUUAUUUCUUUUAUUAGCUCAUAUUCAUCCAUGUGUUUAUCAUUCCUAGCUAAUUCGAUUAUUUAAAAUAACAAUGAUCCAUCAAUAAUUUUAUUCUUCGACCGGCUAAAAUGAUGUUUUUUUAUUAUUAUUUUGAUGAGGAGGUCUCAAUAAAGUUGAAAUAAAUAAAUUUUGGUCUUUGUCUCACACUUACAUAAACAAAGGAAAAAAUUAUAAAAUUAUAAAAAAAUUAAGAACCAUUUUCAAUCAUGGAAAUUCAAAUAUUUAAACAAUCAAAAUUUCAUCACCUUGAGUUGAAGAUUUCUUUUUCUUUUAUACCAAUAAAGUGAAAAUAAUACCAAACGAACUCCAAGACUAUCUUUAAUAUGUGCAUCAAUUAAUAAAACUGAUUUACCAGAAUUUCCAGCCCCUAGACUUUGCAUCAAUAAUUCACAGGUUGCAAAUUAUUCAAUUUGCAGCUCACAGGCAUGUUUAGAAAAAUGAAACCUAUACAAUAGCAUAUAAAGUGUCUGAUUGCAACAUGUUGUGCAACGCAAAAAAUUAAGAUGCAUCAUGUUGUGCAAAUGCAAAUAAAAAUCAGCUACAAUAUAAUGAACAUUAACAAUCUUGCUCAAAGUUAAAAUGAGAUUAUUUGAAUUUUUUCUGAAGAUAUUGGAUUAUAUAAAUAAUCAGUUAAUUAAAAGGUCGUUAUUGGAUUGGUUUCUUAAUUUUAUUUGCACAUAUUAAAGGGCUCAUCUCUAUGUAAGUACUAGUAGCCUGGCUCCCAAAGAUUCCUGAAACCAUUCCGCAUGAAAGACAUAUAUGCAUCAAACUAAGAUACAAAUGAGCUAAGGAAUGUUAAUGCAUUCAUUAAUUAUUCAAUUUCUUAUCUAAAGACUAAGAUUCUUUUAUUUUUUAUUCUAUCAAUUUAUUAUUGCGUAAAACAAUUGCGGGUGAGUAUAUUUAAACUCAUUAGAUCACUCCCUAUAUCCUAAAUCAAUAAAUAAUUUUAUUACAAAAUUACUGAAAAAUCCUUUUAAUAUCUUGAAUACCAAAAAAGUAAAAUUACCAUUCUAGAUGGAGGAUAAAUCUUUAAAACUACCUUAAACGCAUCUUAUUUGUUCAUACACACACAAGUUAUUAAACAACCAUGGAUGUUGAACUAAAGUGUCAAACUUAGUUUCUGGUUGUCAAAUUUUCUUCAUAUUGGACAUCUAAUCGUUUUGCAGUCAGUAACAUAGUCAAAAAAUCAAAUUAGUGGGGUAGAAUGACUGACAUAAAAUAUAAAGGAAAAAAAUUUACUGUGUUUUUUUAUCUUUUUUUCUAAUAUUUUUAGCAUUCCUCCUUACAUAUGUCUUAAUAGCAUGUUUAAUUUGAAGAAAUAAAAUAAGAAGAGAUGAGAGAUAAGGAGAAUGGGAACAAUAAAUAAGGAAAAAGAGAUAUAAUUAUAUAUUAAAUUAAAUAAUAAAAUUGAGAAUGAUCCUAUUUUUUCCAUCAUUUUUUGAUCACUUACUCUAAGGAACCAGAACUUUAAGGAAAGACAGACAAAUCAUAAAGAUUAAAGAGCAGGAAUUUGUGUUCUCCUUUUUAAAUAAAAAAUUUUCAUUUUAAUGGAUUUUUAUUAUUAAAUUAGUCUUUCGCUAUAUCAGAUCAAAUAUAUUAGAUCUUAAAUCUUGUUUUUAAUGAAAUUAAUUACGUUUUGGGCAUUUAAAUUAUGAAAGUGGACAAGAUUUGUGUGUGAUUUUAAAAUAAAUAUGAACUUGAAUUUGAUGCAUUUAAUUAAUCCAAAGAGGCAAAUUUAUAAUUUCAACUUCUAAAUAAAACAUAUCAUUUGAAUUUUACCAGUGGUUUCUAAUAAUAACUGACAGGUCAUUAUAAUAAUUAUAAAUGUAAUAUUUAUUUUUAUAAUUAUACAGUUAUGAUCAAUGCUAUGCUGUAGUGCCGUUCCAAAGGCAACUGCUCCCACUAUUCUCUUAGCGGCUCUGCCACUAAUCGCAUUCUGGCCACAUUUUAUCGUGCUAUUAUGCACCAUAUUUAUUUUUGCAAUCUGCGAGACUGCGACUAGGAUAUGCAUAUGCUCAAGCUCCGGUUUAGUCUUAAUUUGUGGACCCAUUCUACCUCACACGUGAUUGGCAUUACUACUUUGUUUGUCUUCUUAUGUACUAUUAUUUAUUAUGUGGACCCAUUCGUGCACCCACGUUUCGAAUACACAAUUUAACCGCAGCCGCUAAUCUUACCCAAUUUAUGUACGAUAAAAGCUCCGCCGUCGAUCCGUUAUACUUAAGUACCAACCAUGAUCAUGAUUUGAUUAGCUACGUCGCAAAGUCGUAUUGAUUACGAAACACCAACACCUAGGGCCUAGGCAAUAUAGUAUUCUUUUUAGGUGGCCCACGAGGAAAUUGUUGUUGAAUAAUCAUUAAGCAAGAACUUGCAAAAGCAACUUAAUUACAAAUAAUAUUUCCUCUGUUCUUAUUUUCAGUUCAAUUUGGUCCCGAGAAUAAUGAUGAUGAUGAUGAUGUUGACGACAGCAAAAAUAAUAAUUGAUCUUGCAGAUCAAUUAUCAAAGUUUGUUUGUGUGACUCUUGGAAUCUUUGUUGGCCAAUAAAAGGAUGCAUUUUGCUGUUUAAUAAGGCAAGCUCGAAAUAAAUCAAAUCCUAGUCAUACAAAAAUUCAAAUGAUAUGAGCCAUGAUCUCUUGCCAAGCUUCAGACAAGUUAAAUUAUGAACACACAUUUACGCUGUGGACCCAUUCAUGCAUCCCCGUUUCGAUUUUGCAAUUUAACGUAGCCGUUAAUCUUACCUAACCAUCCGUACGAGAAAAACUCCGCCGUCGAUCCGUAUAUGCAUUAUUAUUUUUUUUGGAUUAGGACGAAAUUAUUAUUGAAUAAUAAUUAAAACAAGAAAAUCUGAAUCUUUCUAUGAUUGUAUCAACUUAUUAUGCAUGCCUAUGUUAUUGCCCGGUUGCCUAUGUUAUUGACAUCUACUACGAAGUUAGAAAUUGGUCUUAAUUAAUUAGAUAUGUUUCGAAAUUGGUCUUAAUUAAUUAGAUGCAUUUCUCAUUUGAAUUAUUUGGAGACGUGUAUAAUACUGGUCAAGUUUUCUAAUAAGAGGUUAGUGACUUUAUUUCUUUUAUUGGCUCAUAUUGAUUUAUUUGGUUGUCAUUCCUAGCUAAUUCGAUUAUUUAUCAAUAAUUUUAUUGGACAAAUUCUUUUAUUGAUUAAAAUAAGUUUUUCUUAUUAUUGUUUUUGACGAGAAGGUCUCGAUAAAGUUGGAAUAAACAAAUUUUCAUCUAUGUCUCGCACUUACAUAAAAUAAAGGAAAAAAAUAUAAUUAUAAAUAAAUUAAGAACCAAUGUCAAUAAUGUAAAAUCAAAUAUUUAAACAAAUCAAAAUUUUAUCACUUCUGAGUUUAAGACUUUUUUCUUUCAUAUGUUAGAAAAUAAAAUUUUGAUGGAAUGUUUUUUAAAAAUGAAAUUGGGAAUUAGAAAAUUUCAUUUCCAAGACUAUCUUUCAUUGGCUAUGUCCAAGACGAAACAGAUUAAAAGCAACUUUUGUAAUUUACAAAAGUACUGUAGCAAUGAGAUGCGAAAGAAAAGACUGCACGUGAUAAUUGCGGUUAGUGUUCCCCUGUUAUCAAUUAUUGCCACCGGAUGGGACCCACGUAAUUCGUCUAAUUGAACUGUACCCGGUUAUUCGUAAUCCACACCGGGCAUACUUGAAUCAUCUGUAUAUAUUACAUUAAAUUGUCAAGCCGGAAGCAAGAACUCGAAAAAGCAACUUAACUACUCUCGAACUUUGAUUCCCGUAAGCAGAGAUCUUUGUGAUUUGAAGAACAUGGAAACUACCUGCGCAGGUUUAUAGGCCAACUUUAUUUUAAUAUAUAUCGUUUAUACUUCUUAUUUUAGUAUAUGCAGAUAUAAAUUAAAUUUUUUAUAUGAAAUUUUCAGGUAAUAACUGGUCAGAGGGUUUUCUCAUUCCAGCGGCCAGUAUUGCUGAUGAUGAUGUCAUGAACGAUAAUCUUGAUCUUCUUAAUAUCCCUCAAUAUGGAAGAAAUCCCGACUACAUGGGUUAAGUGCAGCACUGCUUUUUUUUUUUUCUGUUUUGUUUAAUUAAAUAAAUGAUAGGUAUACUAUUACCUAUCAAUCAUGGCAAUGUCUUAGUCUGGUUUAGUUCAACUUAUAAGAUUUCUUGAGAUGUACAAGAUAUCUUUUUGAGCUAAGUAUUUUCUUGAAAAAGGAAAUAAAUCAAUAAAAGUUAUUGUGUGUGUCAACAUAUUGGUUAUAUU
rnacentral:lncRNA from 1 species